rnacentral:rRNA from 1 species
ACACUGCAGUCGAGCGCAUGAGUUGACUAGCUUGCUCUUUCCCGGUGAAUGGCUGACGGGGGAGUAACACUCUGGGUAACCUGCCCAUUAGAGGGGGAUAAAUUCGGAAACGGAUGCUAAUACCGCAUAGUUUCAAGGAUCGCACGAUUCUUGAAGGAAAGGUGGCUUCAGCUACCACUAAUGGAUGGACCCGCGGCGUAUUAGGUCUUUGGUGAGGAAAAGGCUCACCAAGGCAAUGAUACGUAUCCGACCUGAUAGGGUGAUCGGCCACACUGGAACUGAAACGCAGGCCACACUCCUACAGGAGGCACCAUGAGGGAAUCUUCGACAAUGGACUAAAGUCUGACGGAACAACGCCUCUUGAUUGAAAAAGGUUUUCGGAUCGUAAAACUCUGUUGUUAAAAAAAAACAAGGAUGAGAGUAACUGCUCAUCCCCUGACGGUAUUUAACCAGAAAGCCCCGGCUAACUACGUGCCAGCAGCCGCGGUAAUACGUACGUGGUUAGCGUUGUCCGGAUUUAUUGGGCGUAAAGCGAGCGCAGGCGGUUCUUUAAGUCUGAUGUGAAAGCCCCCGGCUCAACCGGGGAGGGUCAUUGGAAACUGGAGAACUUGAGUGAAUAAGAGGAGAGUGGAAUUCCUCGUGUAACGUUGAAAUGAGUACAUAUGUGGAGGAACACCAUUGGCGAAAGCGACUCUCUGGACGGUCACUGACGCUGAGGCUCGACAGCAUGAGGAGCCCACAGGAUCAGAUACCCUGAUAAUCCACGCCAUACACGAUGAGUGCUAAGUGUUGGAGGGUUUCCGCCCUUCAGAUGCUGCAGCUAACGCAUUGAGCACUCCGCCUGGAGAGUACGGCCAUGAGCUGAAACUCACACGAAUUGACGGGGACCCGCACGAGUGGUGGAGAAUGUGGUUUAAUUACCAUACCACGCGCAUGAACCUUACAGGAUCUUUGACAUACCAUGGAUCGCUCUAUACAUAGACUUUGCUCCUCGGGCACAAUGUGACAUCGUGGUGCUCUGUGUUCGUCGAUCAUGCU